CACGUAGGGCGCAAGCGUUGUCCGGAAUUAUUGGGCGUAAAGAGCUCGUAGGCGGUCUGUUGCGUCCGCUGUGAAAACUCGGGGCUUAACCCCGAGCCUGCAGUGGAUACGGGCAGACUAGAGGUAGGUAGGGGAGAAUGGAAUUCCCGGUGUAGCGGUGAAAUGCGCAGAUAUCAGGAGGAACACCGGUGGCGAAGGCGGCCAUCUGGACGACAAUUGACGCUGAGACGCGAAAGCGUGGGUAGCAAACAGG
rnacentral:rRNA from 1 species